rnacentral:tRNA from 1 species
GGCCGCGUGGCCUAAUGGCAUGGCGUCAGAUUUCGGUUGAGUUCUCUGAAGAUUCCAGGUUCGAUCCCUGGCGUGGUCG